AUUGAACGCUGGCGGCAGGCUUAACACAUGCAAGUCGAGCGGAGAGAGGUAGCUUGCUACUGAUCUUAGCGGCGGACGGGUGAGUAAUGCUUAGGAAUCUGCCUAUUAGUGGGGGACAACAUUUCGAAAGGAAUGCUAAUACCGCAUACGUCCUACGGGAGAAAGCAGGGGAUCUUCGGACCUUGCGCUAAUAGAUGAGCCUAAGUCGGAUUAGCUAGUUGGUGGGGUAAAGGCCUACCAAGGCGACGAUCUGUAGCGGGUCUGAGAGGAUGAGCCGACACCCUGGGACUGAGACACGGCCCAUACUCCUACGGGAGGCAGCAGUGGGGAAUAUUGGACAAUGGGCGGAAGCCUGAUGCAGCCAUGCCGCGUGUGUGAAGAAGGCCUUAUGGUUGUAAAGCACUUUAAGCGAGGAGGAGGCUACUUUAGUUAAUACCUAGAGAUAGUGGACGUUACUCGCAGAAUAAGCACCGGCUAACUCUGUGCCAGCAGCCGCCGCAG
rnacentral:rRNA from 1 species